rnacentral:lncRNA from 1 species
CAGACUCAUACAAGAUAAACUUGAUUAACCUAAAGUCAACUGAUUACAGAGCUUAAUGACAUCAACAGAGAUCCCUCACAUUUGCCGUGCAGCUGAACAGAAACACAGAGCUUAUAUUCCCAAGAUGUGCCAUAUUCUACUGGUUAGAAGCAAGUUUCAGGCCUGCCUGCACUCAAGGGAGAAGAUUAUACAAGUGAAACAGCACAGAUCAAGAGCAGACGAGAAGAAACACGACUGGUGUGGACGUGCUGCUUCCCGUUAUUUCUUGAGGAAGGAAACACUGAGAACUGAUUUGGAGGCCACUAUGCAUCGUUUACUACUUUUCCAUGGAGGCUGGAAAUAAAAAAAGAUCAUGCCAUUAGAGGCUAAAUUGUGAUACUUCUAUCGACACAGUGAACUAUCACUCUCUUGUGAGGAAGAAUAAGGAAGAACUUGAUGACGUCAGACUGCGUAACUUCUGGGCAAAAGAAGAAGAGUCAAUGUGGCUAGCUCUCUUUUCCGUAGGAAGAAGGUGAAUAAGAACAUGCAGGCACGUUUGUUUAAUUUCUUCAAGGGAACUUGAGAAUGAAUACGAACUCAUCUCUCAUUUUAUUGUGAUUCACGUCAUUGUGCUUUGCAGAUACGGCAUUUUUUACAAGUUGAAAGUUUGUGACAACUCUGCAUUGAGCAAGUCUGUCAUUGAUAUUUUUCCAACAUUUGCUCACUUUGUGUCUCUGUCAUAAUUCCUGCAAUACUUCAACCUUUUUCAUUAUUAUUAUAUUUGUUAUGGUGAUCUGUGCUCAGUGAUCUGUGAUCAGUGAUCUUUGAUGUUACUAUUGUAACUAUUUUGAGGCGUCACAAACUCUGCCCAUAUAAGAUGGUGAACUUAAUUGAUAAGUGUUGUGUGUGUUCUGACUGCUCCACCGGCUGAUUCCCCGUCCCCACCACCCCAGUCUGUCUCCCUGUCCUGGGGCCUCCCUAUUCCCUGAGACACGACAAUAUUGAAAUUAGGCCAACUAAUAAUCCUACAAUGACCUCCAAGUGUGCAAGUGAAAGGAAGAGACACAAAUCUCUCACUUUAAAUCAAAAGCUAGAAAUGAUUAAGCUUAGUGAGGAAGGCAGGUCGAAAGCAGAGAUGAGCCAAAAACUAGGCCUCUUGUGCCAAACAGUUAGUCAAGCUGUGAAUGCAAAGGAAAACUUCCUGAAGGACAUUGGAAGUGCUACUCCAGUGAACACAUAAGCAGUAAGAAAGUGAAACAGCCUUACUGCUGAUGUGGAGAAAAUUUUAGCAAUCUGGAGAGAAG